AUUGAACGCUGGCGGAAUGCUUUACACAUGCAAGUCGAACGGUAGAGGGGGCAACCCCUCGAGAGUGGCGAACGGGUGAGUAAUAUAUCGGAACGUGCCCAGUCGUGGAGGAUAACGUAGCGAAAGUUAAGCUAAUACCGCAUACGAACUAAGGAUGAAAGGCGGGGAUUGCAAGACCUCGCGCACGUGUAGCGGCCGAUAUCGGAUUAGGUAGUUGGUGGGGUAAAGGCUCACCAAGCCAACGAUCUGUAGCUGGUCUGAGAGGACGACCAGCCACACUGGAGCGGAGACACGGUCCAGACUCCUACGGGAGGCAGCAGUGGGGAAUUUUGGAUAAUGGACGCAAGUCUGAUCCAGCCAUUCCGCGUGCAGGAUGAAGGCCCUCGGGUUGUAAACUGCUUUUGUACGGAACAAAAAGGUCUCUCUUAAUACGGGGGGCUCAUGACGGUACCGUAAGAAUAAGCACCGGCUAACUACGUGCCAGCCGCCGCUGUAA
rnacentral:rRNA from 1 species